CUCAGGGAGGUCGGCAACGACCACCCAGAGCCGGAAAGUUGGUCAAACUCGGUCAUUUAGAGGAAGUAAAAGUCGUAACAAGGUCUCCGUAGGUGAACCUGCGGAGGGAUCAUUA
rnacentral:rRNA from 1 species